rnacentral:piRNA from 1 species
CACAGUGUCAACUGGAAUGUGUUCUUGCCAA